rnacentral:tRNA from 1 species
GGUCUGGUGGUGUAGCUGGUUAUCACGUCAGUCUAACACACUGAAGGUCUCCGGUUCAAGUCCGGGCUAGAUCA